rnacentral:rRNA from 1 species
CUACGGGUCGCAGCAGUGAGGAAUAUUGCACAAUGGGGGGAACCCUGAUGCAGCAACGCCGCGUGGAGGAUGACGCAUUUCGGUGUGUAAACUCCUUUUAUAUGUCAAGAAAAUGACGGUAGCAUAUGAAUAAGCACCGGCUAACUCCGUGCCAGCAGCCGCGGUAAUACGGAGGGUGCAAGCGUUACUCGGAAUCACUGGGCGUAAAGGACGCGUAGGCGGGUUGGAAAGUCAGGUGUGAAAUCCUACAGCUUAACUGUAGAACUGCACUUGAAACUUCUAAUCUAGAGUAUGGGAGGGGGAGAUGGAAUUAGUGGUGUAGGGGUAAAAUCCGUAGAUAUCACUAGGAAUACCUAAAGCGAAGGCGAUCUCCUGGAACAUUACUGACGCUAAGGCGUGAAAGCGUGGGGAGCAAACAGGAUUAGAUUACCCCCGUAGUC